rnacentral:rRNA from 1 species
UACGUAGGUGGCAAGCGUUGUCCGGAUUUACUGGGCGUAAAGAGCGCGCAGGCGGCUGGUCAAGUCCGAUGUGAAAUCUCCCGGCUUAACUGGGAAACUGCAUCGGAAACUGAUCGGCUUGAAGGUGGGAGAGGGUAGUGGAAUUCCCGGUGUAGUGGUGAAAUGCGUAGAUAUCGGGAGGAACACCAGUGGCGAAGGCGGUUCUCUGGGCAUGAUCUGACGCUGAGGAGCGAAAGUGUGGGGAGCGAACAGG